rnacentral:rRNA from 1 species
CCUACGGGUGGCUGCAGUGGGGAAUAUUGGACAAUGGGGGGAACCCUGAUCCAGCCAUGCCGCGUGUGUGAAGAAGGCCCUCGGGUUGUAAAGCACUUUCAGUGAGGAAGAACGCCUGGUGGUUAAUACCCAUCAGGAAAGACAUCACUCACAGAAGAAGCACCGGCUAACUCCGUGCCAGCAGCCGCGGUAAUACGGAGGGUGCGAGCGUUAAUCGGAAUUACUGGGCGUAAAGUGCGCGUAGGUGGCUUGAUAAGCCGGUUGUGAAAGCCCCGGGCUCAACCUGGGAACGGCAUCCGGAACUGUCAAGCUAGAGUGCAGGAGAGGAAGGUAGAAUUCCCGGUGUAGCGGUGAAAUGCGUAGAGAUCGGGAGGAAUACCAGUGGCGAAGGCGGCCUUCUGGACUGACACUGACACUGAGGUGCGAAAGCGUGGGUAGCAAACAGGAUUAGAUACCCCUGUAGUC